AUUGAACGCUGGCGGCAUGCUUUACACAUGCAAGUCGAACGGCAGCGGGGAGGAGCUUGCUUCUCUGCCGGCGAGUGGCGAACGGGUGAGUAAUACAUCGGAACGUGUCGAGAAGAGGGGGAUAACCACCCGAAAGGGUGGCUAAUACCGCAUAAAUUCUGAGGAAGAAAGCUGGGGACCUAGGAAUAGGCCUAGCGCUUUUUGAGCGGCCGAUGUCGGAUUAGCUAGUUGGUGAGGUAAAGGCUCACCAAGGCGAAGAUCUGUAGCGGGUCUGAGAGGAUGAUCCGCCACACUGGGACUGAGACACGGCCCAGACUCCUACGGGAGGCAGCAGUGGGGAAUUUUGGACAAUGGGGGCAACCCUGAUCCAGCCAUGCCGCGUGUAUGAAGAAGGCCUUAGGGUUGUAAAGUACUUUUGUUAGGGAAGAAAAGUCAGCUGUGAAUAAUGGCUGAUGCUGACGGUACCUAAAGAAUAAGCACCGGCUAACUACGUG
rnacentral:rRNA from 1 species